rnacentral:rRNA from 1 species
UACGAAGGGGGCUAGCGUUGCUCGGAAUCACUGGGCGUAAAGCGCACGUAGGCGGAUCUUUAAGUCAGGGGUGAAAUCCUGGAGCUCAACUCCAGAACUGCCUUUGAUACUGAGGAUCUCGAGUCCGGGAGAGGUGAGUGGAACUCCGAGUGUAGAGGUGAAAUUCGUAGAUAUUCGGAAGAACACCAGUGGCGAAGGCGGCUCACUGGCCCGGUACUGACGCUGAGGUGCGAAAGCGUGGGGAGCAAACAGG